rnacentral:rRNA from 1 species
AUUGAACGCUGUCGGCAGGCUUAACACAUGCAAGUCGAGCGAGCGGCGGACGGGUGAGUCAUGUCUGGGAAACUGCCUGAUGGAGGGGGAUAACUACUGGAACCGGUAGCUAAUACCGCAUACCAUCAGAUGUGCCCCGAUGGGAUUAGCUAGUAGGUGGGGUAAUGGCUCACGUAGGCGACGAUCCCUCGCUGGUCUGAGAGGAUGACCAGCGACACUGGAAAUGAUACACGGUCCAGACCCCUACGGGAGGCAGAAGUGGGGAAGAUGGCACAAUGGGCGCAAGCCUGAUGCAGCCAGGCCGCGGGUGUGAAGAAGGCAUUCGGGUUGUAAAGCACUUUCAGCGAGGAGGCGUUACUCGCAGAAGAAGCACCGGCUAACUCCGUGCGAGCAGCCGCGGUAAUAC